rnacentral:rRNA from 1 species
GAUGAACGCUGGCGGCGUGCCUAAUACAUGCAAGUCGAGCGAACGGACGAGAAGCUUGCUUCUCUGAUGUUAGCGGCGGACGGGUGAGUAACACGUGGAUAACCUACCUAUAAGACUGGGAUAACUUCGGGAAACCGGAGCUAAUACCGGAUAAUAUUUUGAACCGCAUGGUUCAAAAGUGAAAGACGGUCUUGCUGUCACUUAUAGAUGGAUCCGCGCUGCAUUAGCUAGUUGGUAAGGUAACGGCUUACCAAGGCAACGAUGCAUAGCCGACCUGAGAGGGUGAUCGGCCACACUGGAACUGAGACACGGUCCAGACUCCUACGGGAGGCAGCAGUAGGGAAUCUGCCGCAAUGGGCGAAAGCCUGACGGAGCAACGCCGCGUGAGUGGUGAAGGUCUUCGGAUCGUAAAACUCUGUUAUUAGGGAAGAACAUAUGUGUAAGUAACUGUGCACAUCUUGACGGUACCUAAUCAGAAAGCCACGGCUAACUACGU